UGAUUCCCGCAGCGGGAGAGAGAGAGAAGACGAACUCGAAGGCGGAGGGAGAGGAUGAGGGUGUUCGGCAAGCACGUCUUCCCGAGGCAGGUGGCGAUGCUCGCCGCCGGGCUUGUCUUCCUCGCGGCGACGACGUACGACGUGCACCGGUCGAUCAAGAACAACGAGCAGCCGCCGACCAAGGAGCAGAUGGAAGCCCUCCAGGACUACAUCAACUCCAAGAAACGCUAGAACCCUAGCCAGAACGCCAUGGAUGAUCCCCAAUAAUUCGUUUGUAAUAAUCCAAUCAAAAUUGGAGUAGACACCAAGGGGGCACGCCAUGUGUUCGGCGUUAUUCCCCACAGGACUCAGCUGCUCCACCGCGUGUAAAUAAAUGUAUCUGUAAAUGGCUUGGCAUUAUUGUCCCUUCAUGGCAUACAAGUUAGAACAUGAUCCAUUAUAUGCUCUCAUUUCUAAUGCACAUUACACCAAAUCCCAAUCCCUUCCAAGAACCAAAUAUGGUGUCACCAUGUUCAUGUAAAAGGUGCAAGCAGAAUCCCAGAAAUUUGCA